AUACGAAGGGGGCAAGCGUUGUUCGGAAUAACUGGGCGUAAAGCGCACGUAGGAGGAUUGAUCAGUUAGAGGUGAAAUCCCAGGGCUCAACCAUGGAACUGCCUUUAAUACUGUCAGUCUAGAGAUCGAGAGAGGUGAGUGGAAUUCCGAGUGUAGAGGUGAAAUUCGUAGAUAUUCGGAGGAACACCAGUGGCGAAGGAGGCUCACUGGCUCGAUACUGACGCUGAGGUGCGAAAGCGUGGGGAGCAAACAGGAUUAGAUACCCCAGUAGUCC
rnacentral:rRNA from 1 species